UUUUUCAACUCCCCGAGGCUUGCCGGAAUUGGCCCCUCCAAGUUGCCAUGGUAUGCAGAAAGGAUACUCAAUUGCGAAAGGUUCCCUAGCGAUGAUGGUAUGAGGCCAGACAAGCUAUUAUUAUGCAAGACUAGCUGGAUCAAUUUUACUAGCUUACCGAUGCUCUUGGGAAUCACUCCGGAUAUCGGAGUAUUUGCUAUCACAAGUAUACUCCCAGAGAACCUAUUGUCCUGUAAGUUUAACCACUGGAGAGUCGUUGAGAGGUUCACAAUUGAACCCGGUAGUUGUCCUCCAAAGGAAUUUUUGGGUAGUGCCAAUUUCUGCAGUUGGCUGCAAUUUGCCAAGGAUGUUAUAAAUUCCCACCCCUUGUUGUCAUUCGCUUCGAUUUCAUUGUUACCCAACUCCAGAUAUUGGAGAGCUCCGAGCCACCCCAAUGUGGGAGGCAUAUACCCACUAAAUUUGUUCUGUGUGAGGUCAAGUGAUAUGAGGGAAGAUAUGUUGGAUAUUGAGGAAGGGAUGGUUCCUGUGAAGUGA
rnacentral:rRNA from 1 species